rnacentral:rRNA from 1 species
CAGCCGCCGCGGUAAUACAGAGGUCCCAAGCGUUGUUCGGAAUCACUGGGCGUAAAGGGUGCGUAGGCGGCGCGGAAAGUCAGGGGUGAAAUCCCGGAGCUCAACUCCGGAACUGCCUUUGAUACUCCCGCGCUUGAGAACUGGAGGGGAGACCGGAAUUCACGGUGGAGCAGUGAAAUGCGUGGAUAUCGUGAGGAACACUAGUGGCGAAGGCGGGUCUCUGGACAGUAUCUGACGCUGAGGCACGAAGGCCAGGGGAGCGAACGGGAUUAGAUACCCCUGUAGUCCCUGUCUCUUAUAC